rnacentral:rRNA from 1 species
GAUGAACGCUAGCGGCAGGCCUAACACAUGCAAGUCGAGGGAGAAGCCCUUUCGGGGGCAGAAACCGGCGCACGGGUGCGUAACGCGUAUGCAACCUACCUUUCACAGGGGGAUAGCCCGAAGAAAUUUGGAUUUAUACCCCAUAAUAUUAUUGGAUGGCAUCAUUUGAUAAUUAAAACUGCGGUGGUGAAAGAUGGGCAUGCGUCCUAUUAGCUAGUUGGAGUGGUAACGGCACCCCAAGGCUACGAUAGGUAGGGGUCCUGAGAGGGAGAUCCCCCACACUGGUACUGAGACAGGGACCAGACUCCUACGGGAGGCAGCAGUGGGGAAUAUUGGUCAAUGGUCGGAAGACUGAACCAGCCAUGCCGCGUGCAGGAAGAAUGCCUUAUGGGUUGUAAACUGCUUUUAUAUGGGAAGAAUAAGGCGUACGUGUACGUUGAUGACGGUACCAUAUGAAUAAGCAUCGGCUAACUCCGUG